AAAAAAGCCCUGAGCAAAUGCUCAGGGCUCUU
rnacentral:sRNA from 1 species